CCCUGGCGGCGGGCGCACUGCUCGCACGCUCGCCCUGGGGCUGCAGAUCGGCUUGCGGGACGGGGUCCCAGAGAGGCCGGUCCACGCGGCCCGCACGCGCGAGUGUUAGCUCUGCACACGACGGAAGGCGGAGGCGCGGGUGGCUGCCGUUUCACCUUAGAGGGAGGGAGGGAAACGUGUCCUGAUUUCUGCACCUAAGGUGCUGGAAACCUUACCCUUGCACUUCCACCGUUUCUUUCCUUGUCCUGAAAAGGUCUCUUUUACCCGCUUCACUUCGCUAUCUACACAGUUUGCACUUGCACUGACUCAGAUCUUGUCCUGUCUGGUAAGCUGUGACCCUCAGCCAGCCUGGGUAGCUGCCCUUGAACCAGAGGUUGGGGUCUGGCAGUUUCUAUAGGCGUCCUCAGGCUCGGUCUGCAAGGGGCUUGCCUCUUUCUUCUGGGGUCUUCUCGCCCCCAUGCCUUCUCAGUUGUGGUGAUUAUACCAGAAGGAACGUGGGAGAAGUAUAAUGGAGAAUGCUUAGUCACUGGACAAUGAUUUCGAAAGUUCGGCUGGCUGAGGAAACAAGAGUUUUGUGUAAUGUCUGUGACUUACUCAAUGGUUCUAGGAGGCACGAGACUGAGUUUCUUUGGGCUCUGCUCGCCUACUCUUAAGGGGCUCUACCUUCUUAGGGUGAACUCGGCACCCACCUAGAACCUCCAGUGUGUGAAAGGGCCUACCUACCUCAUUGGGCCCCAACCUCCAGCCUCUUGUGAGAGUGACGACCAGCCCCAAAAUGGCUGCACACAAACAAGACCCUAAGGUACAGAG
rnacentral:lncRNA from 1 species